rnacentral:rRNA from 1 species
AACGAACGCUGGCGGCACGCCUAACACAUGCAAGUCGAACGAGAAGUCACCUUCGGGUGGUGGACAGUGGCGGACGGGUGAGUAACACGUGGGAACAUGCCUUUCGGUAAGGAACAACGCCUGGAAACGGGUGCUAAUACCUUAUACGCCCUCAGGGGGAAAGAUUUAUCGCCGAGAGAUUGGCCCGCGUUAGAUUAGCUAGUUGGUGAGGUAAUGGCUCACCAAGGCUACGAUCUAUAGCUGGUUUGAGAGGAUGAUCAGCCACACUGGGACUGAGACACGGCCCAGACUCCUACGGGAGGCAGCAGUGGGGAAUAUUGGACAAUGGGGGCAACCCUGAUCCAGCGAUGCCGCGUGAGUGAUGAAGGCCUUAGGGUUGUAAAACUCUUUCAGGUGGGAAGAUAAUGACGGUACCACCAGAAGAAGCUCCGGCUAACUCCGUGCCAGCAGCCGCGGUAAUACGGAGGGAGCUAGCGUUGUUCGGAAUUACUGGGCGUAAAGCGCGCGUAGGCGGCUUAGCAAGUUGGGGGUGAAAUCCCGGGGCUUAACCUCGGAACUGCCUCCAAAACUGCUGAGCUAGAAUCCUGGAGAGGUGAGCGGAAUUCCUAGUGUAGAGGUGAAAUUCGUAGAUAUUAGGAAGAACACCAGUGGCGAAGGCGGCUCACUGGACAGGUAUGACGCUGAG